CCUACGGGGGGCAGCAGUAGGGAAUAUUGCACAAUGGGGGAAACCCUGAUGCAGCGACGCCGCGUGGGUGAUGAAGGUUUUCGGUAUGUAAAGCUCUAUCAGCAGAGAAGAUAAUGACGGUAUCUGACGAAGAAGCACCGGCUAACUACGUGCCAGCAGCCGCGGUAAUACGGAGGGGGCAAGCGUUAUCCGGAUUUACUGGGUGUAAAGGGAGCGUAGGUGGCAGGGCAAGUCAGAUGUGAAAUCCCGGGGCUUAACCCCGGGAGUGCAUUUGAAACUGUCCAGCUGGAGUGCAGGAGAGGUAAGCGGAAUUCUUAGUGUAGGGGUGAAAUGCAUAGAUAUUAGGAGGAAUACUAGUGGCGAAGGCGGCCUACUGGAACGUAACUGACACUGAGGCGCGAAAGCGUGGGGAGCAAACAGGAUUAGAUACCCGUGUAGUC
rnacentral:rRNA from 1 species